rnacentral:rRNA from 1 species
UGGGGAAUCUUGCGCAAUGGGCGAAAGCCUGACGCAGCCAUGCCGCGUGAAUGAUGAAGGUCUUAGGAUUGUAAAAUUCUUUCACCGGGGACGAUAAUGACGGUACCCGGAGAAGAAGCCCCGGCUAACUUCGUGCCAGCAGCCGCGGUAAUACGAAGGGGGCUAGCGUUGCUCGGAAUUACUGGGCGUAAGGGGCGCGUAGGCGGAUCGUUAAGUCAGAGGUGAAAUCCCAGGGCUCAACCCUGGAACUGCCUUUGAUACUGGCGAUCUUGAGUAUGAGAGAGGUAUGUGGAACUCCGAGUGUAGAGGUGAAAUUCGUAGAUAUUCGGAAGAACACCAGUGGCGAAGGCGACAUACUGGCUCAUUACUGACGCUGAGGCGCGAAAGCGUGGGGAGCAAACAGG